rnacentral:rRNA from 1 species
GACGAACGCUGGCGGCGUGCUUAACACAUGCAAGUCGAACGGAAAGGCCCUGCUUUUGUGGGGUUCUCGAUUGGCGAACGGGUGAGUAACACGUGAGUAACCUGCCCUUGACUUUGUGAUAACUUCAGGAAACUGGGGCUAAUACCGGAUAGGAGCUCCUGCUGCAUGGUGGGGGUUGGAAAGUUUCGGCGGUUGGGGAUGGACUCGCGGCUUAUCAGCUUGUUGGUGGGGUAGUGGCUUACCAAGGCUUUGACGGGUAGCCGGCCUGAGAGGGUGACCGGCCACAUUGGGACUGAGAUACGGCCGAGACUCCUAAGGGAGGCAGCAGUGGGGAAUACUGCACGAUGGGCGGAAGCCUGAUGCAGCAACGCCGCGUGCGGGAUGACGGCCUUAGGGUUGUAAACCGCUUUCGCCUGUGACGAAGCGUGAGUGACGGUAAUGGGUAAAGAAGCACCGGCUAACUACGUG